GCCACAGAGAGCACUGAAGACAUCCCCAGUGAAGGGCAUUAUUACCUACAAAGGCAGACUGUGGACCACACAAGAGAAGCCUCACUCGGAUGACUUCUUCAUCUUCAGGAGCAACACCACAAGGAGGACCAGAGCUGUGAAAUAUACCAACGGGUAAUGCUGAAGGAGCCUGAUUCUGACAUUCUUAAAAAACAAACCCAAGUUUAGCUCUUU